UACGUAGGGGGCAAGCGUUGUCCGGAAUCAUUGGGCGUAAAGCGCGUGUAGGCGGCUGAGUAAGUCUGCUCUGAAAGCCCGGGGCUCAACCCCGGGAGGCGGGUGGAUACUGCUCAGCUCGAGUCCGGAAGAGGAGUGUGGAAUUCCUGGUGUAGCGGUGAAAUGCGCAGAUAUCAGGAGGAACACCAAUGGCGAAGGCAGCACUCUGGGAUGGUACUGACGCUGAGACGCGAAAGCGUGGGGAGCAAACAGG
rnacentral:rRNA from 1 species